UCGCUUCAGCAUUUACCAGCUCUGGUAAUAUCUGUUGAGCAACUGCUCCAUGGCAGGGCUGGGGAUGUGACCCGUGAACAAAUUGGCCAGGGCAGGUCCCUGCUCGGACCUGUGGUGCUUGCAGUCACCGUCUGGGGAGGGACUGCAAAACCACACAGACAGUAUGACAGACGGUGCACCAUGAGGAGAAGGCCUGGCUUCCAUGAAAAUGUGCCACAGCGGGAGCAAAGUAAAUGAGAUUGGAAGGGGUCAGGAGGAAAUGACACUGAAGCUCAGAGGAAGAGAAUUUAACCAGGACUGGACUGUCUUCCCGGGGCGAUCAGAGCAAAGGCGCUAAGAUGACAGGAGCCACUAUGCUUCUGAAGAAGCCAGGAUCCUUCCUCUGGUUAUUCAUUCAUUCUAGAGUGAGAAAUCUCUAGGGGACAGUCUCCACGGGCUGGACGCUUGUGAGUCGUGAUGGACAGAACAUAGACCCCGGACUGUCAUGAGCUAGGACAUCUUGGCAUGUAUUCUAGCUCCUAAGUAAUCAAAACAUGUAGUGCUUCAGAAAGUAGGGAAAGUCAUGUGUGGUCUGAAUUGUAACACCAGAAGGAGAAUUGGCGUUUGUGCAUCCUUGCCCAUGGUGCCAGUCAGAGGUGUUGGCUGAAAGCAAUACCAUCAACUGUGGGUAACUCGAGCAGAGAAGGAAUUGACGAAAAGGGUCUGCUCUGUCACCCAGAGUAGAGUGCGGUGGCACAAUCACAGCUCAAUGCAGCCUCCAA